UACGUAGGUGGCGAGCGUUGUCCGGAUUUACUGGGCGUAAAGAGCGCGCAGGCGGCUGGGCAAGUCCGAUGUGAAAGCUUCCGGCUUAACCCGGAAAGGUCAGCCGAUACUGCGGGGCUAGAGUGCAGAAGGGGCAACUGGAAUUCUCGGUGUAGCGGUGAAAUGCGUAGAUAUCGAGAGGAACACCUGCGGCGAAGGCGGGUUGCUAGGCUGACACUGACGCUGAGUGCGCGAAAGCCAGGGGAGCAAACGGG
rnacentral:rRNA from 1 species